CGCCCGCAGCUUUCAAUGGGCUGUGCCUUGCUCAGAACAGAUCUUGAUCACAAGUGCAUUUGCCAGUUUUUCGACUUCACUUUCAAGAAACCUGUCUGAGACCCUCCCAGGAUUUCCCAAAAUUGUCCUUUAAAACCCCAGGCGAAAUCAUCCUGUGCGAUCACGUGCCUGGCGCUUGCCUCCUGGGUUGGCCACAGCUGCUCUGCAGGUUUCCAGGGCUUGGCCCUCGGUCAGGGUUUGAAGGUCCCUGUGUCGGGCAAGUCCCGUCUGCUUUUUUGUUGGGGCUGCAAGGAACAAAGGAGGAACCCUCCCGGCGUGAGGUUGUUUACAAAGAUCUUUCGAUCCCACUUUCUCUCGUGAGCCUCUCCCGGGCUGGGAGUGAGGCUUUAGCUCCCCAUUCUACAGAUGAGAAAGCCAAGGCUGCCAGGGCUUUCUGCUGACUUCCUUGACAUGCGUUCAGUUAGAAAACGGCACGGAGAAGGACACAGACGUGACUCAUAAUCCCACCUUCCAAAGUUGACCACGAUUUCUCUGCUGGUUGCUGGUGGGACAGCUACCACAGCAUGGUGUGUCAAGCGGUGCCAUAUCCACACCUG